UACGUAGGGUGCGAGCGUUGCCCGGAUUUAUUGGGCGUAAAGGGCGCGUAGGCGGCCACGUGCGUCCGUUGUGAAAUCGCCCGGCUCAACUGGGCGGGGUCAGCGGAUACGGCGUGGCUGGAGCAAGCUAGGGGGCAAUGGAAUUCCCGGUGUAGUGGUGGAAUGCGUAGAUAUCGGGAGGAACACCAGUGGCGAAGGCGGUUGCCUGGAGCUUUGCUGACGCUGAUGCGCGAAAGCGUGGGGAGCGAGUCCGG
rnacentral:rRNA from 1 species